AUUCCAGCUCCAAUAGCGUAUAUUAAAGUUGUUGCAGUUAAAAAGCUCGUAGUUGGAUUUCUGUGAGAGUGCCGGUGUCGGCUGAUGCUUGUACGCAGGCGCUCUUACAUCCUUCUGUUAACUGUUCUUGGCAUUUUAUUGCUGGUUCAGGGCUCAGAUAUUUUACCUUGAGAAAAUUAGAGUGUUUCAGGCAGGCUUAUGCCGGAAUACAUUAGCAUGGAAUAAUGGAACAGGACCUGUGCGUCUCUCGGGGCGCCGGUCUCCGUUGUUGGUUUCGGGGACUAAUGUAAUGAUUAAUAGGGAUAGUUGGGGGCAUUAGUAUUUAAUAGUCAGAGGUGAAAUUCUCGGAUUUGUUAAAGACUAACUUAUGCGAAAGCAUUUGCCAAGGAUGUUUUCAUUA
rnacentral:rRNA from 1 species